rnacentral:lncRNA from 1 species
GGCGGCGGCGGCGGCGGCGGCGGCGGCGAGCAGCCUGACCAGAGGGAGGCGGCCGCCCUUGGCCGGUUGCCGAGGCGACCGCGCAGCGCCGGCAGCACCCCUUCCCUUCCUCUCUAUCCUGACGUGUCCCCCUCCUUCUUCUUCCUCCUCACCACGCGGCGCACAAGCCCCGCCCACAGCCGUCGCGACGUCGGCGUCUCCUCGCGCGGGGCACCCUGGGCGUUGUGGUGGCCGUUCGACUCGCGUGUCCCGGAAAUGCUUCCCUGGCCGCCGCGGGACGGAGAGAGAGAGACCACCGCACUGCAGCCGUGGGCCGGUGGCCAGUCACGGCGCCCGGCUUUUGUCCCCGCGGGGCCGGGGCCGGCCGGGGGACUCGAGUCGGCCCUUGCUGGCGACGCGACGAUCCAUCCGCGGAUGAAGCGCCUGUUGCCACCCGCGAGUCCGACGCCCCGGCCGGAACUGCCGUCCUCGGUCCCUGAGCCCGGUUGAUAGUGCAGCUGGAGAAACGGGCGCCUGCGAUGCUGCACCUUAUUCAGCCUUUCAGCCUCGCUGGCCUCCGGAGGCCCUCGGGACGGUGCGCCCUCCCAAUGGCCAAAAGGUGGGCCAGGGUGGCGUUUACUGCUGGACACUGAAAAUGAUGCCCCCGGCCCCCGCCCCAGCGGCAGCCCCUCCUGCCAAGAAGACAUGUUUGCUGUCAAUGGCACAUGGAGAACUGGCAAGGAGCCACUUCCCGCUGGACUCCCACCUUAGGCCUCAGAACCCUCUAUACUGUGCCGGGUGUGUCGGGGUGCCAAGAAUAACGAAGCCCACUAAGUAUUGCUUAAUAAUACGACGACGACAAGGAUACGUUCCAGGGCGAGCCCAGAUUAUGAUGGGGAAGGCCGUGACUGGAGUCAGCGAGGCUUUAGGCCUGUGGAGCCCGGCUGAAUUCCAGCUGACCUGCAGCACGAGGUCCCCCUUUUCUUUUGGAGGUGCAAGAGCCAGCUGGUGA